UUAAGUUCAGCGGGUAUCCCUACCUGAUCCGAGGUCAAGACUUGAAUUUUGGGUGUUUAACGGCAGGCGCCGCCGGGGCUCAGGAGCGUCGUUAGGUACUGCGCUCAGAGUCCACGGCGCUCCGCCACUGAGAUUCGGGGCGUCGGUACUGGACCGAAGCGCCCCAACAGCAAGCCGGAGCUUGAGGGUCGAAAUGACGC
rnacentral:misc_RNA from 1 species